rnacentral:tRNA from 1 species
GGGCGUGUACCCAAGUGGCCAACGGGGGCAGACUGUAAAUCUGCUGGCAAUGCCUACGUAGGUUCGAAUCCUACCGCGCCCA